rnacentral:tRNA from 1 species
GUCUCCUUAGCUCAGCCGGUAGAGCAUUUGACUUUUAAUCAAAGGGUCGCAAGUUCGAGCCUUGCAGGAGACACCA